AUGCUUACUCUGGCAGCACAUAAGCUAAAAUUGGAAUGAUUACACAGAUUAGCAUGGCCCUUGUGCAAGCAUGACGUGCAAAUUCAUGAAUCAUUUCAUAUUUCU
ensembl:snRNA Gm25332 U6 spliceosomal RNA